rnacentral:rRNA from 1 species
UACGUAGGGGGCAAGCGUUGUCCGGAAUCAUUGGGCGUAAAGAGCGUGUAGGCGGCUUGGCAAGUCUGACGUGAAAGCCCGCGGCUCAACCGCGGAUUGUCGUUGGAAACUGCCUCGCUAGAGUCCGGAAGAGGAGAGCGGAAUUCCUGGUGUAGCGGUGGAAUGCGCAGAUAUCAGGAAGAACACCCGUGGCGAAGGCGGCUCUCUGGGACGGUACUGACGCUGAGACGCGAAAGCGUGGGGAGCAAACAGG